UCCGGUUGAUCCCGCCGGAGGUUACUGCUAUCGGUGUUCGACUAAGCCAUGCAAGUCAUAUGUUCCUCGUGAACAUGGCAUACUGCUCAGUAACACGUGGAUAACCUGCCCUUGGGUCUGGGAUAACCCCGGGAAACUGGGGAUAAUACCGGAUAACGCAUAUGUGCUGGAAUGCUUUAUGCGUAAAAUGGAUUCGUCCGCCCAAGGAUGGGUCUGCGGCCUAUCAGGUAGUAGUGGGUGUAAUGUACCUACUAGCCAACAACGGGUACGGGUUGUGAGAGCAAGAGCCCGGAGAUGGAUUCUGAGACAUGAAUCCAGGCCCUACGGGGCGCAGCAGGCGCGAAAACUUUACAAUGCGGGAAACCGUGAUAAGGGAACACCGAGUGCCAGCAUCAUAUGCUGGCUGUCCAGAUGUGUAAACUACAUCUGUUAGCAAGGGCCGGGCAAGACCGGUGCCAGCCGCCGCGGUAACACCGGCGGCCCGAGUGGUGACCGUUAUUAUUGGGUCUAAAGGGUCCGUAGCCGGUUUGGUCAGUCCUCCGGGAAAUCUGAUAGCUUAACUGUUAGGCUUUCAGGGGAUACUGCCAUG
rnacentral:rRNA from 1 species